UACGUAGGGGGCUAGCGUUGUCCGGAAUCAUUGGGCGUAAAGCGCGUGUAGGCGGCUCGGUAAGUCCGCUCUGAAAGCCCGGGGCUCAACCCCGGGAGGCGGGUGGAUACUGCCGGGCUAGAGUCCGGAAGAGGCAAGUGGAAUUCCUGGUGUAGCGGUGAAAUGCGCAGAUAUCAGGAGGAACACCAAUUGCGAAGGCAGCUCGCUGGGACGUAACUGACGCUGAGACGCGAAAGCGUGGGGAGCAAACAGG
rnacentral:rRNA from 1 species